ensembl:lncRNA
AUUUAUUUACAAACAAAAUGGAACCAUGAUAUUUGAACAAAUUUUUUAAAAAGGAAAAAUUUCUACCUUUUAUUCUUAGAAAGAAUAGGUUUACUUAAAAAUCAGUUUUAAAAUGACAUGAACUCACAAUUUAGAAGUCAAAUAAACCUCUCCUUUUUACAGAACAGUAUCUAAGAAAAUAUAAAACUUAAAAGCAUCUAGAACUUAUAUUUAUAGAUCUUUUAAAAGAUUAAGUUUUCCAGUCAAAAUUAAAAAAAAAAUUACAAAGUUUGUCAUUUUUAACUGACAAUUUGCUUCCAAAUUGGGGUCUCUUUGGAGAAACUAAGUUAUAAUUUUCAAACAACUAUGCUCCUCCCCAUUUGAUAGCUGGAAUCAUUCUAAUUAAAACAAAGGUCUUUAUUUCAAUGUAAAUUAAUAUGGCUAAAAACUCUAAUCCUGAGUUGUUUUGUUUUCUUCUCCUUCAUUUCCAUAUGGACACACACAGCACUUUGAGACACCAUCACAAAAACCGAAAUGGAAGACUCAAUGGCAGAUGAAAGAUUAUCUGCCUCUGCAAGAGCCAAAAUUAGUGUGGGCCUCAUUUUUCCAACGUGUGAAAAACAGAGUAUAACCACACUCUCCAUGAUUAUUUUUCUUUCUAAAACAUUUCUUUCUAAAACAUUCUACAAAUUUGAAGGUAGACUUUGUGCGCUUACUUCUCCUCACCAAUUGCUAAUAGUUAACACGGAUUCUGGUGUCAGCCUCCCUAGAGUUGAACACCAGCUCAGCCAGUUAUCUUGUAAUCUUGAGCAAAACAUAGAACCUCUCUACAUGCAGUUUCCUUACUCAGGAGAGUGGAGAUAUUAACAACAGUACUGAUGCCAUAAGGUAGCUAAGAGCAUGCAUAACGUGGGAAAAGCACUUAAAACAGUGGCUGGUACAAUGCUAUAUAAAUUCCCAAAUUUGUCAUUAUCAUCACGCACUGUUUGUGGAAAAAGAUCCUGACUGUGCCAUAUGAAGUAAAGAAUGUCAUAUAGGAAGAUAUAGUAGGUUGAAUCACCUAACAUAUGAUUACAAAACACAAAAAUGACGUUUUUUACAUUUAUCUUAGCUUCAUACAACAGGAGCCAUUUUUAAUAACAUUAUAAUAAAUAGACAUAGAUGCUAUAAAUUACUUUGUGGUUCAAAACUUAAAAGUAUAAAAAAGUCAACUCAGACUAAUAAGAAAGUUUGAUUACAAGAACACUUGGAAAUGUAGCACAUUAUCACCACCUAGUGGAUACCGUAUUUAAAAAAAUUUUAUAGAUAGUGCUUACGCUAUUUAUUUUUAAGGGAAAAAAUGUUUUCAAAUAGAAGCACAUUCUCUUGACUAAUGUAAAGGGGAUUAAAAAACCAGAAAACAAAUUAAAUACUAUAUUAGCAGUACUCUCAAACACUAUAGCUAAAAAUACCGCUCACUAAGUUGUGUAUCUCAAAUUUGUUUCUCAAACAAGGUAACAGAGUUCAAGCAGUUUUUGUUCAGAAAUUUAAAAGAUACUGAAGACAGCAUGCAAGUCGCCAGAAAUACUUCACCAUGGCUUAUAAAUUAAUGCAAAAAAUAUUAGGUGUAACAAACUUAUGAAUUUCAAAUCCUAGGGUUGUGAGGCAUCUUAAAAAGCCAUUUUACUCUGACUACCUGCUUGCUAUCUGAAUCUCCUCUGAAGCAUUCCAGAUGCUAGAAAUCUUGCCUCCAGGGAGCAGGCAAACUUACUUUUCUUCUGGGUCCAUUACCCUGCAGACUAAACAAUUAGAAAAUGAGUUGAAAUCUGCUGGCCCUGGAUUUAUACUUCAAGGCAUAUAGAAUAGUCCAAUCCUUCUUCCAAAAAUUUAUUCUUCAAUUAUGAGAACUUACCAAAUUACAGGAUCUCUGCUUCUCCAGGUGAAACAUCCUAUCUAUUCUUUUCGCCAUUUCUCUUGCAACACAAUUAUAAAUACUCAUUAUCCUUUCACGCUCCUUUGAACAGUUUCUAGUAUUUCUAAAAAUGACUAUACCCAAUACAAAAAAUAAUAUGCCAUGAAUAGUCUGGCUAAUGCAGAGUAAAGACAGAUUAUCACUUCUCUCUCCAUAUUCUACUUCUCUUAAUGAAAGACUUUUACUGUGAGGUGAAGUAGCAGUCAAAAACUCAGAGUCAGAUCAAUCUAUGUUAAGUGACAGUGUUGACUUCGGGCAAGUUACCCGACCUUGACCUCCAGCUUCUCCAGCAAAUAGAAAUCAACACCUGCCUCAUAGGAAUAUGAGUAGGAUCAAAUGAGACAAUAUUUGUAAAUCAGCCAAUAUAAUGCCUAGAAUAUCACAGGUGCUCAAUAAAUGAUAGCAAUCAUUAUUGUUACUAUUACCUUUCCACCCUCUCUUCCUCAUUUUAUAUGUGCCACACACACACAUACCUAGUUCACCUGAACUAAAUCGACUUAAGUUUCAGUCGGUAUGAAAAAUCAACAUAAUGUUUGAUCGUUCUCUGGUCAACAAAAUACCAUGAUCUUUUUUGGUCUGAUGGUGAUACACUGAGCUCAAAUUAACAUUAAAUUCACCAAAUGCACAUUUUCAAAAAAGCACGAUAUAAAGAUAUUACUGUAUUACUGCACUGUGACAAAAUUUCUUACCCAAGAAAUAACUGUUUCCCAAUGUUGAAGAAUUUAGAGUUGGAUUCACAGAUAUGUGUAAAAAAUAUAUCUUCAAUCUGUCAAUUUUUAAUAUAAUUUUUUCAGCUAUACAAGUUUUAGCAUAUCAGAAAUGUUUGUCUUAUUGUCAACAUUUAAAUACAUAAAAAGUACCCUAAACAAAAGAUUAUUUAUCCCUAAAGUAGUAAAAUGCAGCCUAACUAAAAUAACAGAAAAUACUCAUAAUUGGUUGAAAUCUCUUUUCCCUUAAAAGUAUAAUAAC